rnacentral:tRNA from 1 species
GGCCGAUUGGAGAAGCGGUUAACUCACAGGCCUUUCACGCCUGCAUUCAGGGGUUCGAAUCCCCUAUCGGUCGCCA